GUCUAUUCACUGUUUACUGAGUAUCGAUCGACUGUCGAGCCUAUUUGAAAAUCAUACCAGUUAUCCUCCAUGUUCUAGUACUUCGUAAUGAAUACAAUGAAUAGGCCACUAUGAUAGCUACUUUUAAAGUUUUAAAGUCUGUGCUUUUGCGAACGAUUGAAACUAAUUCCGUAUGCCGCCCUCGAUUUUGUUUUCAACUGCGAUACGUUGACGUCGCGGGCCGCCAUCACUCCGUCGAUAAUUUACUGUUCGACCACGUGCUUUUUUUUUUUUACGUUACCUACGCAUUUCUAACCGUCUCCGCUAUGGGUCAUUUAAUAAAUAAUAAUUUUGCAUUAUUCCGAGUACCUAUCGAAUUGCGUGUUAUUACUGCUAUCCAUCGUUGAAUCACCUCUGUGGUGCUGUAUCCGUACCGCACUUUGCCAUUAUGUAAUACAUUAUUGCGCGAGUAUAUCGAAUUCGGAAUUUUAUACCCGUUGGUUGCCGAAACGAACUUAUUAUUGCGCUUGCAUGUGUUCAUGCUAUCAACCUGGUUCGUGCCAUCGUUUGUGUCAUACGUGUCAUAGCUGCUCUGGUUGAUCAUCUUACCAUACCUAUUAGGUACUAAGCGUCGAAAUUGAAUAAAAUUGUUGAUUUUGGGACAUCGCCGCCACUCAGACGCACUGGAUGUUUUCACCUGUCAGGUCCGUUCUGUUAGCUUUGUAUUGAUUGAAGCUAAAACCGAAGCUUUAUAUAUAGGUGUUGGAGCGAUUUAAAGCAAAAUGUCCAAAUGUAAAACCAAGUUGAUUUAGAAGUUGAACUUCUAUAUGCAUUUUUAUUGACAUAAUUCGAAGCAACCAUAUCAUCAUGUUGGUUUCAUUACAUACAGGAAGGAUUGCAGCAUUAGCAUUAUCAACCAGGUCACCAAAAUUGAAAGGGGUUUUGCAGAUGUAAAAGAUAUGGUCAAGCUAACUAAUAAUGUUCAACUGGCAAGAUUUUGUACAUACUGUUUUAGGUUAAAUAUAAUUAAUAAAAAUCAAAAUAUAUUAAUUUUAGUAUUUUCUUUAAAUUUAAAUAGUUUUUGGAUUAUAAGAAUGGGAGCAGAAUCCUUUUCAGUUCAUGGACAAUCACACCGUACAAAUAAUGUCAAAAGUUUUCAUUCAUCACUUAAACAAACUUUUCUGGUACAACAUUCAAACCUUGGGACAUUUUUAAACCAUCUGAACAAUAUAGUGAUCAAACAACUUAGUACUACCAUUGGAUAACUGGCUAGAGGCUUACAAACAACCAGAUCUACUAAAUUUAAAUACAUUUUAAAUUCAGUGUGAAUAAAAAAUUCUACAGCUCUUUAAGCAAUUGAAGAUUUUUUAUAGUUAAGUAGUUCUUUAUCCUAUGUUCUCAUUAUUUGGAAAGAGAAUUAAAUUAAAAAAUUAAGCUCAAAGAUUAUAAUAACACAAACUUCAUCAUUCCUGAGGAUGGAAGAAAUAGAUAUUUGGCAAAAUGUUGUAAGUGAUGAUUAGAAAUAAAUUGUAUUUUUGUAAGUUCUUCAAAAUCUGCAUGUACCGUAUCCUCAAAGAGAUGAAGACACUAUCUGUAUAGUUUGUAGAAUGGCCCAAUGGCGCAACCAAGGGAGAAUGUUUUGUGUGUCUGGACACCCCCUUUGAACCAUAACUUAAGUCCAUAGCUAGUAUACUUACAAAUUUGGAAAUUUAUUGGGGAACUACUGUAUACGCUACUGAUGGACAUCCCCCUUGAAAAAAUCCUAGUUGCACUACUGAAAUGGCCCCAAGGACACAUGCACUUAUUCCUUGUGGACAUUAAUAAAUGUUGUGCAUUGAUAAACAUUAUGAUGUUCAAUUUGUAAAUUAUUUACGUAUAUAAUAACCAAGUUAAAAAAAAAAAUUGUUAAUUAUCUAAUUAUUUAAUUUUUAUUACCUAAAGAUGUAAAUAUGAAUUAUUAAUAUAUGUAUUAUUAUGUAUGAAUAUUGUUA